rnacentral:rRNA from 1 species
GACGAACGCUGGCGGCGUGCUUAACACAUGCAAGUCGAACGGAAAGGCCCGUGCUUUUGUGGGGUGCUCGAGUGGCGAACGGGUGAGUAACACGUGAGUAACCUGCCCUUGACUUUGGGAUAACUUCAGGAAACUGGGGCUAAUACCGGAUAGGUAUGGACACUGCAUGGUGACCAUAUUAAAAGUGCCAAGGCACUGGUAGAGGAUGGACUUAUGGCGCAUUAGCUGGUUGGUGAGGUAACGGCUCACCAAGGCGACGAUGCGUAGCCGACCUGAGAGGGUGACCGGCCACACUGGGACUGAGACACGGCCCAG